UGGGUUGUGGCUCAGUGGUAGAGCUUCACCUAUCACAUUCAAGUCCCUGGGUUCAAUCCUCAGCACCAA
rnacentral:tRNA from 1 species